CCCCCAGAGGAGCCCUAAAACCUCUCAAAUUCCCCCAAGGGGGCCCCAAAACCCCCAUGGUCUCUCUGGGGAGCCCCGAAACCCCCGAAAUCCCUCCUGGGCAGCCCCAAAACUACCAGAAUCCCCCCGGGGAGCCCCAAAACCACCCCAAAUCCCCUCUGGGGAGCCCCGAAACCACCAAAAUCCCUAAAAGGGAGCCCCAAAACCACCCAAAUCCCCCCGGGGAGCCCCAAAACCACACCAAUCCCCCCCGAGGAGCCCCAAAAUCACCCCAAUCCCCCCCCAGGGACCCCCAAAACCACCCCAAUCCCCCCCGGGGGAGCCCCGAAACCGCCGGCGGCCGGACAGAGCAGCGAGACGAGGAGCAGGAGGCGAAGAAAGUCAUCGAGAACCCGAAACCGAGGGGAACGGCCCCGAAACGCGGCCCCGCGGCAAUAAAUAGGGGGUCCCCGGCCCCACGGGGGGGGGCCGAUAAAAAGGGGGGGGUCCUCAGGUCAAACGAGGGGGCCCCGGUAUAAAAAGGGGGCUCCCAGUACAAAGAGGGGGGCCCCAGUAAAAAGGGGCUCCACGCUGGGGGGGGCUCUGCCUCCAAAAAGGGGUCCCCGGCCCCAAAAUGCGGGGUCUGACCCCAAAACGGGAGUGUUUGACCCCAAAACGGGGGGGGUCCCCGACACCAAAUGGCGGUCCCCGGCACUAAAAGGAGGGUUUUGAGCCCCAAAAAGGGGGUCCCCGGCCCCAAAAAUGGGGUUUUUCAGCCCAAAAACAGGGAGGUCCCCAAAACAGGGGUUCCGGCCUCAAAAUGGAGGUUCCCGGCCUCAAAAAAGGAAAGUCCCUGACCCCAAAAGGGGGUUCUUAGCCUCAAAAUGGGGGUCCCCGGCCCCAAAUGGGGUUCUCAGCCCCAAAAAGGGGCUCUCUGGCCUCAAAACGAGUGUUCUGCACCCAAAAUUGAGAGUCCCGGCCUCAAAAUGGAGAGGUCCCUGGCCUCAAAAUGGGCGUCUUGGCCCCGAAAUGGGGGGUUUUGACCCCAAAGCGGUGUUCCUGCCCCCCCAAAAAGGGGGUCCCCGGCCUCAAAACAGGGGUCCUGGGCCCAAAACUGG
rnacentral:lncRNA from 1 species